AUACGGAGGGUGCUAACGUUGUUCGGAAUUACUGGGCGUAAAGCGCGUGUAGGCGGCUUAGCAAGUCAGAUGUGAAAGCCCUCGGCUCAACCGAGGAAGUGCAUUUGAAACUGCUAGGAUAGAGUACGGGAGAGGGUUGUAGAAUUCCAGGUGUAGAGGUGAAAUUCGUAGAUAUCUGGAGGAAUACCGGUGGCGAAGGCGGCAACCUGGACCGAUACUGACGCUGAGACGCGAAAGCGUGGGGAGCAAACAGGAUUAGAAACCCCAGUAGUCC
rnacentral:rRNA from 1 species